rnacentral:tRNA from 1 species
GUUGUGGCUCAGUGGUAGAGCACUUGCCUAGCAUGCAGGAGGCACUGGGUUCAAUUCCCAGGCACCACA